rnacentral:rRNA from 1 species
UACAGAGGUCUCGAGCGUUAGGCGGAAUCACUGGGCUUAAAGCGUGUGUAGGCGGGUCGUUAAGUGCCUUGUGAAAUCCCAUGGCUCAACCAUGGAACUGCUGGGCAUACUGGCGAUCUUGUGCCACCUAGGGGCGAGCGGAACAGAUGGUGGAGCGGUGAAAUGCGUAGAUAUCGGUAGGAACACCAGUGGCGAAGGCGGUCUCCUGGGGCAUUCUUGACGCUGAGACGCGAAAGCUGGGGGAGCGAACGGG